UAAUAUUAUUAUAUUCAUGACUUUUCUUUUAUCAAUAAUUAUUCAAAACAGACCUCUCUAGCAACAGACCUAAUUCGACUUUUUUCAAUUUGAUCAAGUCUGUACAUAUAAGUUGAAAUGAAAAAGACUAUGGCCUUAUAUUGAGAGAGAGUUAUAUUAUGAAAUUUUAUUUACAAUAGAAUUUCUUAUGUAACGAUAAUAAAUCGAAGAACGUGUUGAAUGGGAUAUUUAGGUAUCACAUUUACUUGUCUUAGCUUAAUCUUCCAGUUGCUCCAGUUGCAGUUUUAUCACUAAUUAUAGUGGAGACAUGAUAUCUAGGUUACUGUUAUGAGAAACAUUCGAAGUCCAUAUCACUUUGAUCACGCUAGUGAAGUUUAGAUGCUAUUUUUCUUAUUUUAAAACAAGUCUCCCUGGAUGUGAUUAUAUGGAAAAUAUAUUCUGUUUGUCAUUGGUUCCAAGAUGGAUAAAACAUGAAACUAAAAUAUUAAAUAACAAAAUGGUCACUUCAUGUUGAUGUAUCUUUGAAAUCUUGAAAGCCACGUGGGUGCAGUCAUAUGUACAAUACAGAUACAGAUGUAGACAUUGUGAUGUGAUAGAUGAAUACAUUUGAUACAGGUUUAUAUAGUUAUCUAUGUAUAUUAUAAGUGUACUCGUGUCGUUAGUAGAUGUUGGUAUGACUAUAAAUGCAAGCAAUAGUGAAUGAAAUGACCUCGCGUCAUGGUUCGACUCAUCAGCAACAUUUCUUGAUGAUAUUAGAUUUUUUAAGUUCAUUAUGGAAAUGUCUGAUCAUUUUCUUCAUUCCACGUGGAUUUUUUUUUUAAUGCUAUCCAAUUAUAUGUUGUUAUUUAUGAAUUAUUGAGAUCAUUAUUUCCAGUCCCAUUAAUGACAAAUUUAAAUGAAUAUUAUUGAGAGUUAAUUUAAAACAUCUUGAACUAAAAAAAAAAAUUGAUUGGAUUGAAGAAAAAAAAAUAUUCAUUGAUUUCGUUAUUCGAUUGUAAAAUUGCCUAGAAAAUCAUUGCUAUAAUUUGAUCGCAGUAAUUAUACAUUAACUACUGAUGAUGAAUCACUUUUACAAGCUAAUUGUGCUGCCUUGACUUACAAAGUAUUUAUGAAAGAAUUAAGUAUGUUAUUUUCUUAAGGGUUUUGUUUGAUAUUAGAAUAUAAUACAAAUUAGUUCGAGAAUAGUUUUAUUUUGAAUGAAAAUGUAAUUUAAAAUAAAAAAUUCUGUAUUCUACACAAGUUUUUUAUAAUAGUGCAAUGACUUUAACUCAGUAUAAGGCAUGCUAAUUAGAUGAAUUAAGUGUCACUAUAUAUCUUUUAACAUGCAAAUUAAAAUACCGGAAUUCAAAAUGCUCUUCACGUAUAAGUCAAUUUUUUAAUUUGUAUUUUCAAAGUCAAGCAUUAUAGCCUUUCUACUUAUUAACGAGUCGUAAAAGGUCAUUAGCCAACUUAAUAUCUUUCUACUCA